CGCGUAGGCGGCCUUCUAAGUCAGACGUGAAAUCCCCGGGCUCAACCCGGGAACUGCGUCUGAGACUGGAAGGCUCGAAUCCGGGAGAGGGAUGUGGAAUUCCAGGUGUAGCGGUGAAAUGCGUAGAUAUCUGGAAGAACACCCGUGGCUAAGGCGGCUCUCUAGUACGGUACUGACGCUGAGACGCGAAAGCGUGGGGAGCGAACA
rnacentral:rRNA from 1 species